rnacentral:rRNA from 1 species
CAAGUCGAACGGCAGCGCGGGGCAACCUGGCGGCGAGUGGCGAACGGGUGAGUAAUAUAUCGGAACGUACCCUGGAGUGGGGGAUAACGUAGCGAAAGUUACGCUAAUACCGCAUACGAUCUAAGGAUGAAAGUGGGGGAUCGCAAGACCUCAUGCUCCUGGAGCGGCCGAUAUCUGAUUAGCUAGUUGGUGGGGUAAAGGCCUACCAAGGCAUCGAUCAGUAGCUGGUCUGAGAGGACGACCAGCCACACUGGAACUGAGACACGGUCCAGACUCCUACGGGAGGCAGCAGUGGGGAAUUUUGGACAAUGGGCGCAAGCCUGAUCCAGCAAUGCCGCGUGAGUGAAGAAGGCCUUCGGGUUGUAAAGCUCUUUUGUUAGGGAAGAAACGGUGGGAGCUAAUAUCUCCUGCUAAUGACGGUACCUGAAGAAUAAGCACCGGCUAACUACGUGCCAGCAGCCGCGGUAAUACGUAGGGUGCAAGCGUUAAUCGGAAUUACUGGGCGUAAAGCGUGCGCAGGCGGUUUUGUAAGUCUGUCGUGAAAUCCCCGGGCUCAACCUGGGAAUUGCGAUGGAGACUGCAAGGCUAGAAUCUGGCAGAGGGGGGUAGAAUUCCACGUGUAGCAGUGAAAUGCGUAGAGAUGUGGAGGAACACCGAUGGCGAAGGCAGCCCCCUGGGUCAAGAUUGACGCUCAUGCACGAAAGCGUGGGGAGCAAACAGGAUUAGAUACCCUGGUAGUCCACGCCCUAAACGAUGUCUACUAGUUGUCGGGUUUUAAUUAACUUGGUAACGCAGCUAACGCGUGAAGUAGACCGCCUGGGGAGUACGGUCGC